UUUCUUACCUGGCAGGGGAGAUACCGUGAUCAAGAAGGCGGUUCACCCAGGGCAAGGCUCAGCCAUUACACUUUGGCUGUGCUGACCCCGGCAAAUUCCCCAAAUGUGGGAAUCUCGACCGCAUAAUUUCUGGUAGUGGGGGACUGCGUUCGCACUCUCCCCUG
ensembl:snRNA U1 U1 spliceosomal RNA